AAAGGGGAAGCAAGAAGACAGAACUACUUGUACUACCACGAAAGGAUAAAGUAUUUUGCCUGCACCAUAUUACCAAUGAAAGCCGGGAACAUCAGAUCAUUUGGAAAUAGAAAGAUAUAGAAGACCGCACAUGCUCAAUUUUAUCCUUCAACUGCCUCCUAAGCUGUGAUAGGGAGCUACAGAAGAAAGACAUGCCUUCUGAGAGAUCUCUGGAUCCAGAUUUCACAAUGUACCAUCUAAGGCUACUUUCACAAUAUCGGCAGGCUUCUCCGGCUGUCAUGAGAAAACCAAGGCCGAUACUUGCUUCCAAUUGUGCAGAAGUUCCAAUCAAAGUCUGAAUGGUUUUAUUCAGCUAUCCUCUCUGUCUGUUUGCUGUGAUCUUGCCGGAAACCCAGAACGUACAAAUUUAUUGACAAUGUGAUUGGAGCUGAGUUUGACUACCCUGUACAGCCGGCUUGAGAAGCCUGAUGAAAUCGAUAAGGUAGAAGAAGAUAUUUCAAUUAUAUUAUUACUUUGGUUUAUUAAAAUACACCAAAUUUUGUCAAUCCUAAACUAAUGUUUGCUAUCAAUAAAAAGUUUAUCCAUAUAUGUAC